rfam:Ailuropoda melanoleuca scaffold3540_1, whole genome shotgun sequence.
CGCACUUGUGCUUGUUUUUGUUUAGUUUGUGAACAAAGACAUAGACAAAGUGCAAAAAAUAAAUCCUCUUUUGCAACCCAGAACUCAUGGCUCAGUAUGAGUUUUGAUACAGAUAAGAAGGAACAAG